rnacentral:SRP_RNA from 1 species
GCUGGGCAUGGUGGCCCAUGCCUGUAAUCCCAGCUACUCAAGAGGCUGAGGCAGGAGAAUCACUUGAACCCAGGAGGCGGAGGUUGCAGUGAGCCAACAUUGCGCCACUGCACUCCAGCCUGGGCAACAGAGUGAGACUCUGUCUCAA